rnacentral:rRNA from 1 species
AUUGAACGCUGGCGGCAGGCCUAACACAUGCAAGUCGAACGGUAACAGGAAGAAGCUUGCUUCUUUGCUGACGAGUGGCGGACGGGUGAGUAAUGUCUGGGAAACUGCCUGAUGGAGGGGGAUAACUACUGGAAACGGUAGCUAAUACCGCAUAACGUCGCAAGACCAAAGAGGGGGACCUUCGGGCCUCUUGCCAUCGGAUGUGCCCAGAUGGGAUUAGCUAGUAGGUGGGGUAACGGCUCACCUAGGCGACGAUCCCUAGCUGGCCUGAGAGGAUGACCAGCCACACUGGAACUGAGACACGGUCCAGACUCCUACGGGAGGCAGCAGUGGGGAAUAUUGCACAAAGGGCGCAAGCCUGAUGCAGCCAUGCCGCGUGUAUGAAGAAGGCCUUCGGGUUGUAAAGUACUUUCAGCGGGGAGGAAGGGAGUAAAGUUAAUACCUUUGCUCAUUGACGUUACCCGCAGAAGAAGCACCGGCUAACUCCGUG